rnacentral:rRNA from 1 species
UACAUGGGGUGCAAACGUUGCUCGGAAUUAUUGGGCGUAAAGCGCACGUAGGCGGUUCGUUAAGUCGGAUGUGAAAGCCCUCGGCUCAACUGAGGAAGUGCACCCGAAACUGGCGAGCUUGAGUACGAAAGAGGAUCGCGGAAUUCCCGGUGUAGAGGUGAAAAUUCGUAGAUAUCGGGGAGGAACACCGGGUGGCGAAGGCGGCGAUCUGGGUCGAUACUGAACGCGUGAGGUGCGAAAGCGUGGGGAGCAAACAGG